GAACUUUUUGUAAAACAUUUUUUUGUCACUUCUAUACUUAAUAUCUUCCACUGGCUUCCCACUGCACACAGAAUAAAGUAAUGUCCAAACAUCUUAUCACCUAAGUGCUACAUUUUCCCUGGUCCUUGUCUGCCUCUUUGACCUCCACUUGUCUCAGCCCUUGCCUCAUUUUGAAAAUGCUGUGUUUGCUUUUGCCAUACCAGGAACCUGGGACUCACUGGUCUAGGAUCAUCUGGCCCCAGAUCUUUGUACAACAGACAGUUGAUGGAGGGACCUAACAGAUUGCCUUGUAAAUUCACAUCAAUACGGAUGAUACUACAGUGUACAGCUUAAGAAAUCAUUGAACACUAAAUACCAAAUAACUGAAGAAUGGAUAUGGUAGGCUGAUAGCAGCUCCCAAAGAUGCAUCUGCAUCCUAAUCCCUGGAACCUGUGCAUGUUAGCUGGCAUGCUAAAGUUUUUGCAGAUGUGAUUGAGUUAAGGAUCUUGAGAUGAAGAGACUAUCCUGGAUUAUCUGAGUAGGUCCUAAAUGUCACCACAAGUGUCUUUAGAAGAGACAGUCAGAGGGAGAUAAAAUCCAGAAGAGGAGGACAAGAGAGACAAAUUGACCAUGAAAAAGAGGUUGGAGUGAUGCGGCCAUAAGUCAAGAAAUGCCUGCAGCCACCAAAAACUGGAACCAGGGAUGAAAUCUCUCCUAGCCUCUGUGGAGGGAAUGUGGCCCUGACAACAUCUUGAUUUUUGGCCCACUGAAACUGAUUUCAGACUCCUAGCCUCCAGGAUGGUGAAAGAAUAAAGUGCUAUUAUUUUUAGCCAUUAAGUUUGUGGUCAUUUGUUUACAGCAGCCACAGGAAACUAUUACAAUGGAUUUUCAGCAUAUUA